CAUCGCCCAGGAAGAACAUCUUCCAGCGACUUUAAACUACACUUCCCAUGAGGACAAGGGCUUAAGCCUCAGGCUUUCCGGUGACUAGUAACCAAUAGGAAGUGCUGAAGCAGCCACCGUAUUUGUGGGAGUGCAGCCUGGAGCCCAAGUCCUGGGUCUAGGAUGAGUAGCGCGAAGCGCAGAGUUGAGAAGACAGUUGUAUUGCAAGGGACGCCGCGAGGGCACUCUGCGCCCAGGAGCUGCAGCGCCUGCCCGAUUUUCCGCGUUUCUUUAAGGAGUAGCGCUUCGGUAGCCGGGGAGCUGGAGGGGGACCUGAUUUGAGAUCAGUUCUUGGAGAUCACAAAGAAGUGUGGUGGUAUGUUCCAGGUGUGAGUUUAAUUUAAAUAUAAGAAGAAGUUUGUCUUACAGACAUUUUGUUUGUGGCUAUUCUUAGCUGCAAUCUGUGGCUGCCAGUUUGAAAACCUAGUAAUGUAAAUUUAUUUUCUUAAGAAAUGCAUUUGCUGUCCUUGUGCAGUUUACUUGAAUUGUAAUUACCUAAUUGAGUGACAAUAAUGACUACUAUUUAUUUAGCCCAUAUAAUGUCCCAGGCAUCAUCAUAAGCACUUUCUUACAUUAUCUUAGACUCUUAUGAUAUGUGUACUAUUAUUCUCAUUUUUCUUCUAGAAGAAGAAACUAAAAUGCAGAGAAUUAAAUACAGAAAAUCACAGAUAUUGUAAGACAGUUGAGUUGGGGCUGGAGUGUAUACAUAACUGAUUCCAAAGCCCAUGUUCUGUC
rnacentral:lncRNA from 1 species